rnacentral:piRNA from 1 species
UCCUUACGGCCUGUCUACUCAUUGGUGUAU